GAGUUUGAUCAUGGCUCAGGAUGAACGCUAGCGAUAGGCCUAACACAUGCAAGUCGAGGGGCAUCACAUGAAGCAGCAAUGCGGAUGGUGGCGACCGGCGCACGGGUGAGUAACACGUAUGCAACCUGCCUACAACAGGGGGAUAACCCGUUGAAAGACGGACUAAUACCCCAUAAUACAGGGGUCCCGCAUGGGAAUAUUUGUUAAAGAUUAAUCGGUUGUAGAUGGGCAUGCGUUCCAUUAGCUAGUUGGUGAUGUAACGGCCCACCAAGGCAACGAUGGAUAGGGGAACUGAGAGGUUUAUCCCCCACACUGGUACUGAGACACGGACCAGACUCCUACGGGAGGCAGCAGUGAGGAAUAUUGGUCAAUGGACGCAAGUCUGAACCAGCCACGUCGCGUGAAGGAAGACGGCCCCACGGGUUGUAAACUUCUUUUGUAAGGGAAUAAAGUGUAGUACGUGUACUAUUUUGCAUGUACCUUACGAAUAAGGAUCGGCUAACUCCGUGCCAGCAGCCGCGGUAAUACGGAGGAUCCGAGCGUUAUCCGGAUUUAUUGGGUUAAAGGGUGCGCAGGCG
rnacentral:rRNA from 1 species